GAACUGGGGAGCAGCGCACACACCACAUCCUGCGCAUGCUCCAGGGCCAGUGCGCUCAGCACCCGUAGGGCUGCCCGCCGGGGUCUCCCCUCUGCCAGGCUAGGCACCUGUGCCAGCAGCCCACGCACCAGACCGUGGACCUGGGUAAAGGGGGCAAAUAACUCUCAGCUACUUCUCCAGCACCAUGUUCGCCUGUAUGUUACCCUGCUCCGCACUGUGACGAUAAUGACCUCUGAAACUGCCUCACCGCCCAGGUAGCUGUAAAUGGAGGCCGUGAAGCCCCCAUCUGGACCCUGAGCUCGCCGCAAGCCCAUCUCUAGCAGUCUCUUAUCCGGCCCUGCGAUCAGGCGAAGCCGAGCAGCAUUGGUGGCUACGAGGCUGUGGAGAGUGACAGGCGAGGUGA